UCCAGGACCAGACUGCUAUGUAUACGUCAUACUUCAUAAUAUGAUGACUCCUCUUUUCUCUAUCAUACUGAGCAUGCGUCAUAACAACAUGGUCUUUUGUCCGUCACUACUCUAUGAACUGUUUGUGUGUCUGUGAGGUCCGACACAACAAUGGCGACGAAGUUGGGAUGAAUUUGUUUUGGUCGUUUUACCUUACUGUGUAUUUAGCUACUUACCUGUAGCUGUGCUAUUUCUGCAUCAUGGCAAAGGCCACGAUAGAGCCGUUCGACGGCGGAGACUUUGAGGAAUACCAGGAAAGACUAAAUUUUUUUUUCAUUGCCAAUGAAAUUGGACAAUUGGCGUCCAGUGCGUCAAACGCGGAUAAGGUGAAAGCUGACAAGCGCAUGACGGCUUACCUUAUUUCUCUACUGUCGAAGACUGUUUACUCGACGUUGAAGACCCUGUGCUUGCCAAAAAACCCGACGGAUUUCAAGUACUCCGAGAUCGUUGACAAGCUGAAAGUACAUUACAAGGUGAAAACCUCACGGACGACGGCGACACACAAGUUCCGUCAAUGUGUUCAAGGGCCCUCGGAGAGUGUUACUGAUUAUUCUCAUAAACUCCAGCGCUGUGCUGUAGAGUGCAAGUUCGGCGAUCAUUUGGACAGAGCUCUUUGUGAUCAGUUUGUGGCUGGGCUGCGCGAUCUAGACACACGCAAAUUUAUUUUGUCAAAGCCGGACGACGACGUAAAGUCAUUUCAGAACGUAUUUCAACUGGCGUUGACGGAGGAGACGGCAGGUCUGUUUGCUCGUACUCUACAGGCCAGUGGGAGCGCCAGGGACCAAGUCCAAGAUGACGGAGUGCACGAGUUGCGGACGAGGCACUCGUCGGACAAGCACAAAUUUCAGUCAAAGUCCAAGUCCAAAACACCCACUACUAAGUCUAAGGCAUGUUAUCGUUGUGGUGCCGCCAGCCAUUUGGCCACUGCGUGUCAGCACAAAGACACUCGCUGCCGACACUGCCACAAGACUGGCCAUCUGGAGCGGGUGUGUCUGUCCAAGAAACGCCAGCAAGAUUGUCAUCAACUCCAGGAGACGAUCAGUUCUGAUGAUGGUGAGAGCGUUCCUAUGUACCAUGUAUAUACUGAAUGUGUGAAUGCUACUAGUACUACUAAAUCGAAUGCACCUCUGUACGUACCUGUGGAAAUUAAUGGUGUGACUGUAGAAAUGGAGGUCGACACAGGCAGUGGUGUAACGAUACUCACAGAGAAAGAUUUUCAACAGUGCAAUGGCGAUUUGAAUACAUUGCAGAAAUCUACAGUCAUUCUCAGAGGAUUUUCUGGUGCCGAAAUUAAAUGCAUUGGGGAAUUUCCAGUACCUGUCACGAUUAACGGGAAAACUGAAUCUGUUACUGUACGCGUUGUUGCAACUGAGGGUCCCUCCUUACUGGGUCGUGAUUUACUUAAAGGGGCACUCCGGCUUCAUUUUCGACGCCGAGUUUUCGAUGCCAAGACGAAGGUAGGUGAAAGAGAAGACCCCUCGAACAAGAACGAGUCUCCAGAAGCGAUCGAGUCGAGCAGGAAGACGACUUUUGAAUUUCGCCGAGCAAGCGCUGAUGACGUAAUGAGGGAUUAGCUUGCCAGUGGAAAUGCAUCUGCGCACAUACAUUUCACACACUUUUUGGCCAAUUUUCAAUCAAAGAGGAGGUUGUUUUCUAUGUUCUCUCAACGUCGUGAGCGAUCCCGUCUUCUAUACCCUUCCAGGUACCCUGAAGGUCCUCCAGAGGAGAAUUUAUCUCCAGCAAAGCGUUGUUGAUCCGCUAAAUUCGUCUCGAGACAUAUUCAACCAGUGCAGUGCUGAUAAAUGUAGAAUAUUGAAUCUGUGAUAAUUGUCGACGAUCGAGAGAGAGGUUGAUAGCCGCUGUCGCAGGGAAAGUGAAGCUGCUGGAAGUAACGACGGGGAGCCCGUUUGUAUCACCUGAACAACCAGACUUCAAAGCAGCUUGACCAAAUCGGAGGGUGCCUCGUUGCUUAUCGUGAAUAUUACACCGACAUGAAUUACUACAAUUACAAGUAUACUGGUCUGUCCAAUAUGCAUUGACCGUAUUGGGCAUGGUAUCUGCUCUGAGAAGGGAAUCGCUGGAGCCACAGUCCAACUGGACAGGCUUUCAAGAAACAGAGAGGAGCCAUCUUUGCAAGCUGAUACCUGAUGUGUACCGGCAGAAUUCUCACGAGAUACCUUACGGACUACGUCUGGUGUAUACUUCAUAGUACUCCUUCGACUACUGUCUAGAAUAAAGUCGACUGAAACAAGUUCAAACAACUCUGGCUUCAAACGAGCCGUCGAUUAGACAAACAAAACAUUCUCUCAUAAUACUAGAGCACUCUGACAACUCCCGACCUAUUCCUAACGAUUGCCACCGCUUAUAAAUAUGUAGAGUGCUGAUUGGAAUGUGCUCAUAAUCUCAACAAUUCAGUGCUAUAAUUAUUUGAACAAUGUGUUAGAAAUUAUUCCACUUUUCCUUCCAUGAAUGUUGUAUCCACAUAUAAUCCACAGUGCUGCAAAGUUUCAGAGUUCUCAGGGUAUCAAACAAAAUUAUUUCAAAUACAGUGAAAUUGUUCGUAGACAUUAUAGCGUAACUUGUAGUUCCCUGGUCCUUUUCUUUGCUAUAAAUUAAUCCUUUGCUCUCUA